CCCUUAGAUGUCCGGGGCCGCACGCGCGCUACACUGAAGGAAUCAGCGUGGCUUUCUCCCUGACCCGAAAGGGUUGGGAAACCCGUUGAAUCUCCUUCGUGAUAGGGAUUGGGGCUUGAAAUUGUUCCCCAUGAACGAGGAAUUCACAGUAAGCGCGAGUCAUAAGCUCGCGUUGAUUACGUCCCUGCCCUUUGUACACACCGCCCGUCGCUACUACCGAUUGAACGGUUUAGUGAGGGCCUCGGAUUGGUCUCGGCCCGCUCUUUACCGGGCGGCGCCGUUGGUCGAGAAGACGCUCGAACUUGAUCGUUUAGAGGAAGUAAAAGUCGUAACA
rnacentral:rRNA from 1 species